rfam:Candidatus Hodgkinia cicadicola isolate TETTLN, complete genome.
GGUUUUGUAGUAUAAUGGCAAUUACAUGGGACUGCAAAUCCUGUAAUCUCAGUUCAAGUCUGAGCAAAGCCU